AACGAACGCUGGCGGCAUGCCUAACACAUGCAAGUCGAACGAGACCUUCGGGUCUAGUGGCGCACGGGUGCGUCACGCGUGGGAACCUGCCCUUAGGCUCGGAAUAAUUCCCCGAAAGGGGUGCUAAUACCGGAAAAUGUCCUCGGACCCAAGAUUUAUCGUCUUUGGAUGGGCCCGCGUUGGAUUAGCUAGUUGGUAGGGUAAAAGCCUACCAAGGCGACGAUCCAUAGCUGGUCUGAGAGGAAGCGCAGCCACACUGGGACUGAGACACGGCCCAGACUCCUACGGGAGGCAGCAGUGGGGAAUAUUGGAAUACGGGGGGAAUGCUGAUCCAGCAAGGCCGGGUGAGUGAUGAAGUCCGGAGAGUUGUAAAGCUCUUUUACCCGGGAUGAUAAUGACAGUACCGGGAGAAUAAGCUCCGGCUAACUCCGUG
rnacentral:rRNA from 1 species